GCUGCGCGUGCCGGGGCCGCUCGGCCUGUGGGUGCUCGCCCUGCCUCCUCCCGGCCGCCUCCUGGAGAGGGGUCCGGGCGGCCCGAGAGCGCUGCUGUGGUACCAUCGGGCUCUGGGGACCCGACCCGGGCACGCCUGCCCUGCGCUGUGCGCCUAAGAUUCCCAAAGGAAAAUUAGUUAGUUCCCGGUCCGUGUGGUGGCGGUGGUGUUCACAGCAUCCCCCGGCGCCGCCAUUUCACGUUUGAGUUCAGUGAAGAACGGAGAUUUUAAGUGGCUCGGCAGACAGAGCGUCUGAGCCGUGCGGAGCUGGGCAUAACCCGCAUGUGGGUGCUGGUGACGGCAUGGCCGCUUCUGAGGCGCUGGCACCUUCCCAGAGUAACCUUGCCGUGUAAGCCACGGAAAUCCAUUUGCUAAACGCCGGAGAGAAGCGGGAGGAAAAAAUGCAUUCUCUCUUCCAGCAGACUCAGUUUUAUAAAGACAAGCAGUGCCCCUUCGUACCACUUUAAAAAAGAUGCUGUUCACAGCAGGCUGUGGAUGUGCCCUUGGGACAAAGGUGGUGCAGGAGGGAGAAUGUUCCCACCGCAGAGUUGUUCAAAGACAACAGAGCAGCCUUGCCAUGGCAUCUGCCAGGUCUCUCAGCAGUCACAAAGGUCUCCUGUCUCAUCCUGUGAUUUGUGCAUGUCCAGCUUGUCUAAGUCCCUGUUUGGAUCCAUUGAUACUUCUAACAAGAAAAAAGGUCAAAGGCUCAGCUUGACUUCUCAUUUGGACACAGAAUUCUCUUGCCUACGCCAGGGGUAGUAAUACAAGACUUUUGUGGGUCAGCCAGAGAAGCUGCAGUGGCCUUGUGGCAGAACCCCUCCCAAAAAGAAAAACCAAAAAAAACAACUACUGGAAGAUUGAUUAAUGGAUUUCUUUUUCAUGGUUCUUGCAGAAUCAAUAUGGAAAUGGUACUCGGGCAACAACGACUGACUCAAUCCCUGGAAAGGUCAUGGAGUGCCUCAUUUUGGAGGCCAUCUCUAUUCACAUGGGUGACAAGAAGGUGAUCAGGAGUAAUCAGCAUAGAUUCACUAAAGGCAAAUCAUGUUUGAUGAACCUGAUUGCCUUUUUUGAUUAAACAACCCGAAUGGAUGAGGGGACAGCAAUGAGUACUGUCUACCUUUAAUUCAGUGAGGUUUUCAAGGUGUCUCACAAUAUCCUCAUAGGCAAACUCAGGAAGUGUGGACUGGAUGAGUGGACAGUGAAGUGGAUUGAGAUCUGGCUGAGUGGCAGAUCCCAGAGGGUUUUAAUUGGUGGCAUGGGGUCUAGUGUGAGGCCUGUCACCAGUAGUGUCCCCCAAGGAUCAAUACUGGGCCCAGUAUGGUUUAACUUGUUCAUCAAAGAACUGGAUGAAGGGGCAGAUACCUCCUUAGCAAGUUCACUGAUGACACAAAGCUGGGAGGAGCAGUCAACACCCCAGAAGGCUGUGCAGCCCUGCAGAAGGACCUCAGGUUGGAGAGGUGGGCAGGGAGGAACUGUCUGAAAUCCAACCAAGGGAAGUGCAGGGUCCUGCACCUGGGGAGAAACAACCCCAGGCAGCAGUACAGACCUGCUGAGGAGCACUCUGGAGAAGGAGCUGGGGGUCCUGGUGGACAGCAAGCCAUCCAUGAGCCAGCAGUGUGUCCUGUGGCCAAGGAGGCCAAUGGGAUCUUGGGGUGCAUUAGGAGGAGCACUGCCAGCAGGUCAAGGGAGGUGACCCUGCCCCUCUGCCCAGCCCUGGUGAGGUGCACUUGGAGUGCUGUGUCCAGUUCUGGGCCCCUCAGGAAAACAAAGAUGAUUAAGGGACUGAAGCAUCUCUCUUAUGAGGAAAGGCUGAGGGAGCUGGGCCUGUUCAGUCUGGAGAAGAAACAACUGAGAGGGGACCUCAUCCAUGGCUAUGAGUUUAAAGGAGGAGUGCCAAGAGGGUGGAUCCAGGCUCUGCUUGGUGGUACCAAGGAAUAGGACAGGAGGCAGUGUCAGAAACUGAAGCACAGGAAGUUCCACCUGAAUAUGAGGAAGAUCUUCUUUACUGUGUGCAAGACUGAGCACUGGAACAGAUUGUCCAGAGAGGUUGUGAAGUCUCUGGAUGCAAUCCUGUGCUCUAGGAUGACCCUGCUUGAGUAGGGGGCUUAGACCAGAUGACCAACUUGUGAUUCCUUCCAACCUGCCCCAUUCUGUGGUUCUGUGAGGCAAGCAGCACUCCUUUCUCAGAAAUAAAGGAGGAAAGGAUAAAACUUUAUGCAGAAGAGAUUUUGUCCUCUUAUGACAUCACACUUCCCUUGGGAGCCCUUUCUCAGUCUCUCUCCAUUCUUGUGUGCUGUGCAGGUAUAUACAGCCUAUUCUGCUGCAGCAAAGGAAGAAGAGUUACUCACUGCUGAAUUUGUCAAGGAAAUGUUACAAAGCUGUUAUUUCAGUGUGUAUCACGUAUGCUUCCAUGACUGGCACAUUGCUGACAUACUGCUGUGUCACUCAUGAAGACUAACACCUGGUAUUUCCAUCUCAUGGUACAUGCAAGAGGAAUAAACAUUCAGUGGGACGGAGUCACCACCUUCCCCAUGAAAUAUAGCGGUGUAAGGAUGUACACAGAGGCAGUUUUUAUAAAACAGCUGACAGGCUGCAAGUUUCCAUCCUACAGUUUGCAUCUUGCAGUUUCCUAUUCAUCUGCUCAAAUCAAAAUGCCGAGUCUUGCAAUCCAUCCUUAGAAUAGGGCAAGCUGAGUAAUCAUACAGCUGCUUGCUCAGAGGUGGCUGAGUAGAAGAACUUGCACAGGAAGAAUAUAAGCUUGCCUCCACAGCUGUGAAGUUCAAUCAUUUUUAGCAGACUGCAAACUACUUAUGAAUUCAGUUUGUUAGCAAGGACACUUUUUUUUACUAUUGAAGGCUUUCAUAUUUUCCCACAUGAUCACAAUUUCUCAAAGAGGGGUUGAGGUAAGAAAUAAUGUAUGUUAUCAACUCUUUAUAUUGAAUUUGGCAGAUGCUAUGAAAUAAGGAAUUUUAUAAAUAAGAUGGUAUUAGUUUACUGUACCAAUAGAAUGUUUAAUCAGAGUCAUUGUAUGCCACACACAUUAAAAAAAUUUCAAACAAGUACAGAAAUUCAAAGACAUUAAUAAUGGGUUGGUGUGCCAAAGUCUGUCAUAAUCAGCCUGAAUUUGUGUCAAAAUUGUUUUCCAGAAAAAUGAGAAAAAAAUUGGAAGAGCUAAAUUAAGAUAUAAGGCCAAAGAAUAUAUUCAAAUUUAAAUUUACCUUGCUUUCACUGAUGGAGAGUGGAUCAGUUUUACAAGAAUUGUAAAUGAUGUAUUACUUUAAAUUAUCAUUAAAAAGAUUGCUGUUGAGUAUUUUACACAAUUUAAAUCAGUCUGCUUGUAUGAGAUGUAUGUACAGUGUCUAAAAUAUUGUUUUUAACAUACUGGCUUUGGUUAUUUUCACUGCAUACAUAUUUUAAUACUUAAAGAGGGACCCUUAUUUGCUGAUGUUUCACAUUUUUAAAUAUACUUUAGGCAUUUUUCAUAGAUUUUUUCUAACAUAGCUUCUCUCUUACCAAAAAUAUGUACUAUUUAAAGAAAGCAUGACUUCUGAAAAUGUCGCCUUAUUUAGAGUUAUCAGAUUAAAAAUAUCAGUUUUCAAGGAAGUUUAUCUGUUGUACCAGAGUGCACAAUGGAGACCUUGUGUUGUGCCCUAUAUGAGGAGAAGACUCACUUCUCAAAUAGAGGAGACACAUCCCUCUCUGUAAUUUUGCUGAAGGAAAGUGCUGCUUGUAUUAAAAUUAGAACCUCAAAGUUUUCUGCAGCCAUACUGCAACUGUAAUGAACAAGGCCCAAAAGUGAGGGAAAGGCAGGGAAACUGUUAUGUCUUGGA